rnacentral:pre_miRNA from 14 species
UCAGAUACGGAAUUCUUUUUGCAGUAUGUUCCUGUAUAAGAACAUAAGCGUAUUGGGAACAUUUGGCAUACAUAAUUUUGUAUCAAUAUAUGGGGAGGGAGACUAGGA